GGUUAAGCGACUAAGCGUACACGGUGGAUGCCUAGGCAGUCAGAGGCGAUGAAGGGCGUGCUAAUCUGCGAAAAGCGUCGGUAAGCUGAUAUGAAGCGUUAUAACCGACGAUACCCGAAUGGGGAAACCCAGUGCAAUACGUUGCACUAUCGUUAGAUGAAUACAUAGUCUAACGAGGCGAACCGGGGGAACUGAAACAUCUAAGUACCCCGAGGAAAAGAAAUCAACCGAGAUUCCCCCAGUAGCGGCGAGCGAACGGGGAGGAGCCCAGAGUCUGAAUCAGUUUGUGUGUUAGUGGAAGCGUCUGGAAAGUCGCACGGUACAGGGUGAUAGUCCCGUACACCAAAAUGCACAGGCUGUGAACUCGAUGAGUAGGGCGGGACACGUGACAUCCUGUCUGAAUAUGGGGGGACCAUCCUCCAAGGCUAAAUACUCCUGACUGACCGAUAGUGAACCAGUACCGUGAGGGAAAGGCGAAAAGAACCCCGGCGAGGGGAGUGAAAUAGAACCUGAAACCGUGUACGUACAAGCAGUGGGAGCACCUUCGUGGUGUGACUGCGUACCUUUUGUAUAAUGGGUCAGCGACUUAUAUUUUGUAGCAAGGUUAACCGAAUAGGGGAGCCGUAGGGAAACCGAGUCUUAACUGGGCGUCUAGUUGCAAGGUAUAGACCCGAAACCCGGUGAUCUAGCCAUGGGCAGGUUGAAGGUUGGGUAACACUAACUGGAGGACCGAACCGACUAAUGUUGAAAAAUUAGCGGAUGACUUGUGGCUGGGGGUGAAAGGCCAAUCAAACCGGGAGAUAGCUGGUUCUCCCCGAAAGCUAUUUAGGUAGCGCCUCGUGAACUCAUCUUCGGGGGUAGAGCACUGUUUCGGCUAGGGGGCCAUCCCGGCUUACCAAACCGAUGCAAACUCCGAAUACCGAAGAAUGUUAUCACGGGAGACACACGGCGGGUGCUAACGUCCGUCGUGAAGAGGGAAACAACCCAGACCGCCAGCUAAGGUCCCAAAGUCAUGGUUAAGUGGGAAACGAUGUGGGAAGGCACAGACAGCCAGGAUGUUGGCUUAGAAGCAGCCAUCAUUUAAAGAAAGCGUAAUAGCUCACUGGUCGAGUCGGCCUGCGCGGAAGAUGUAACGGGGCUAAACCAUGCACCGAAGCUGCGGCAGCGACGUUUAGGCGUUGUUGGGUAGGGGAGCGUUCUGUAAGCCGUUGAAGGUGACCUGUGAGGGUUGCUGGAGGUAUCAGAAGUGCGAAUGCUGACAUAAGUAACGAUAAUGCGGGUGAAAAACCCGCACGCCGGAAGACCAAGGGUUCCUGUCCAACGUUAAUCGGGGCAGGGUGAGUCGACCCCUAAGGCGAGGCUGAAAAGCGUAGUCGAUGGGAAACAGGUUAAUAUUCCUGUACUUGGUGUUACUGCGAAGGGGGGACGGAGAAGGCUAGGCUGGCCGGGCGACGGUUGUCCCGGUUUAAGCGUGUAGGGGGAGUGACCAGGUAAAUCCGGUUGCUUAUCAACCCUGAGGCGUGAUGACGAUGCACCACGGUGCAGAAGCAGUUGAUGCCAUGCUUCCAGGAAAAGCCUCUAAGCAUCAGGUAACAUUAAAUCGUACCCCAAACCGACACAGGUGGUCAGGUAGAGAAUACUCAGGCGCUUGAGAGAACUCGGGUGAAGGAACUAGGCAAAAUGGUGCCGUAACUUCGGGAGAAGGCACGCUGGCGUUAGGUGAAAGGACUAGCUCCUGGAGCUGAAGCCAGUCGCAGAUACCAGCUGGCUGCAACUGUUUAAUAAAAACACAGCACUGUGCAAACACGAAAGUGGACGUAUACAGUGUGACGCCUGCCCGGUGCUGGAAGGUUAAUUGAUGGGGUCAGCCGCAAGGCGAAGCUCUUGAUCGAAGCCCCAGUAAACGGCGGCCGUAACUAUAACGGUCCUAAGGUAGCGAAAUUCCUUGUCGGGUAAGUUCCGACCUGCACGAAUGGCGUAAUGAUGGCCAGGCUGUCUCCACCCGAGACUCAGUGAAAUUGAACUCGCUGUGAAGAUGCAGUGUACCCGCGGCAAGACGGAAAGACCCCGUGAACCUUUACUAUAGCUUGACACUGAACAUUGAGCCUUGAUGUGUAGGAUAGGUGGGAGGCCUUGAAGUGUGGACGCCAGUCUGCAUGGAGCCAACCUUGAAAUACCACCCUUUAAUGUUUGAUGUUCUAACUCGGCCCCAUGAUCUGGGGUGAGGACAGUGUCUGGUGGGUAGUUUGACUGGGGCGGUCUCCUCCCAAAGAGUAACGGAGGAGCACGAAGGUUAGCUAAUCACGGUCGGACAUCGUGAGGUUAGUGCAAAGGCAUAAGCUAGCUUGACUGCGAGAGUGACGGCUCGAGCAGGUACGAAAGUAGGUCUUAGUGAUCCGGUGGUUCUGAAUGGAAGGGCCAUCGCUCAACGGAUAAAAGGUACUCCGGGGAUAACAGGCUGAUACCGCCCAAGAGUUCAUAUCGACGGCGGUGUUUGGCACCUCGAUGUCGGCUCAUCACAUCCUGGGGCUGAAGUAGGUCCCAAGGGUAUGGCUGUUCGCCAUUUAAAGUGGUACGCGAGCUGGGUUUAGAACGUCGUGAGACAGUUCGGUCCCUAUCUGCCGUGGGCGUUGGAAGAUUGAGAGGGGCUGCUCCUAGUACGAGAGGACCGGAGUGGACGAAUCACUGGUGUUCGGGUUGUCAUGCCAAUGGCAUUGCCCGGUAGCUAAAUUCGGAAGAGAUAACCGCUGAAAGCAUCUAAGCGGGAAACUUGCCUCGAGAUGAGUCUUCCCUGGGGCUUAAAGCCCCCUGAAGGAACGUUAAAGACUAUGACGUUGAUAGGCUGGGUGUGUAAGUGCAGCGAUGUAUUGAGCUAACCAGUACUAAUGAUCCGUGAGGCUUAACCUU
rnacentral:rRNA from 6 species